UGUAAACAUCCCCGACUGGAAGCUGUGCCAGUUCUAGCUUUCAGUCAGAUGUUUGCU
rfam:Pelecanus crispus contig43748, whole genome shotgun sequence.